ensembl:lncRNA LINC01270 long intergenic non-protein coding RNA 1270
AGAACUCGGGUAUUAAUGACCCGGAGCCACAUGACGGAGCAUGACACAGCACUUUUGGGCACAAGGCAGGGCCCAGAGGGGUGCGUGGGGGCCGCAGCCCAGCCCCCAAGCCCCGCCAGCGGCUUUACUGGGGUGUAACAAACACACGAUAAACUGCGCAUAUUCCAGUGUUCAUGUGGAUGAGUUUGGACAUAUGCACACACUUCCGAAACCACCAGCACAAUCAAGACAGCAGACAUAUCCAUCGCCCCCAAGGGUGUCCUUGUGUCUUUUUGUCAUUCAUCCCUCCCGGCCGCCCCAUCCACACUCCCAUCGCCUGCCGACUGUGGCUGAUCUGCUUUCUGCGGCUGUGGAUUAGUUUGCGUUCUCUACAAUUUUCUGAAGCACCAGUUAGCCCAGAUGCUUCUCAUCUUUGGAGUUGAGCUGCAGGCUGGAGACCUGGAAGGCCCUCGCAGCGCCUGCUCCCAUCCUCUCACCUCACGAAAGCGCAGGAAUGUGGGUUUGGAGCCAAUGAAAAGUACUGGAAUCUGGCUCUGCUCUGUGACCCUGGACAAGUCACUGCCCCUCUCUGGGCUUCAGUUUCCUCCUUGGUAACACAGAAUGAUUAUACCUACCCCUUGGGUUUGUUGACCUGAAUCUACCCCUCAGUCAUUGCCUUUCCUUCUUGCUGCAGCCACACUGGCCCCUUGACAGUUCCUUGAACACAACAAGCCCUUUCCCACCUCAGGGCCUUUGCAUGUGCAGUGCCAGAUGCCUGGAAUGUCCUUCCUUCCAAUCUCCCCAUGGCCGGCUCAUUCUCAUCUUUCUUGGCUCAAAUGUUACCUCCCCAACCUAGACAGCACCGCUGCCACCUCUUCACCCCGUCUUACUCUUCUUCAAGCACUUCUGGAGGUAUCUUGCUAUUUAUCUUGUUUAUAUCUUUUUCAGCUCCAUGAGGGCAGGGGAUUUUGUCUGUUUCAUUCACAAUGUGUUCCCAGAGCUCAGCACAGUGUCAGGCACACACUAGGUGAGUAAGAAACAAUUGCUUCCUCUACCUCUUCCCCUGCUAGCCCCAAGUUCAGCUAACUGGCUGUGUGACCCUGGGGAUUGCUUUUCACCUCUCUGGUCCCUUAUUCUCCCUUGUGGACAAAGGAUGGCCUGGGCAUGAGUUUCUUCAAGGACUCGGGUAGCAGUGAAAUCCCUGGGACCCUAGCCUCAGUACCUCCCCAGGCAAUGGGGUAGAGAGCAAGAAGGCAGGUGAGCAAGGACCAGCCUCCGCCACGCAGACACCCUCUUUCCGGCUUCUCUGUCCUCCUACUUUGCCCUGGGUUUGUGGACUUACUCUGGGCAGAUCUCCACGACCAACCACCCCCUCCCUUGGCAUGUCUGUCAGCACCCUUGGGGGAAAGAAUUUGGAAAGGGGAGGGAGAAAAAGAAAGCAGGGUGCGAGGGGCUGGUUCCCACACCUGUGUAAAUAAUUUGUCAUCUUAAAAUGCUCAAGUAUGCUCACCUUUAA